rnacentral:rRNA from 1 species
AAAGCCUUGGCGGUACAGGAUGGGCUCGCGUCUGAUUAGCUAGUUGGUGAGGUAAUGGCUCACCAAGGCUUCGAUCAGUAGCCGACCUGAGAGGGUGAACGGCCACACUGGAACUGAGACACGGUCCAGACUCCUACGGGAGGCAGCAGUGGGGAAUAUUGCACAAUGGGCGCAAGCCUGAUGCAGCAACGCCGCGUGAGUGAUGAAGGCCUUCGGGUCGUAAAGCUCUU